rnacentral:rRNA from 1 species
UUAAGUGGAGAGUUUGAUCCUGGCUCAGAGCGAACGCUAGCGGCGCGCCUAACACAUGCAAGUCGAGCGAGAAAGAGGGGGCAACUCCUUGAGUAAAGCGGCGAACGGGUGAGUAAUGCAUGGGUAAUCUACCUAUAAGACUGGGAUAACCUUCCGAAAGGAGGGCUAAUACCGGAUAAGACCACAUGACUUUUGUUGUGGGGUUAAAGAUGGGGAUUCGCAAGAACCUAUCAUUUAUGGAUGAGCCCAUGUCCCAUCAGCUUGUUGGUAGGGUAAUGGCCUACCAAGGCUAAGACGGGUAGCUGGUCUGAGAGGACGAUCAGCCACACUGGCACUGAAACACGGGCCAGACUCCUACGGGAGGCAGCAGUGGGGAAUCUUGCGCAAUGGGCGAAAGCCUGACGCAGCGACGCCGCGUGAGGGAAGAAGGCCUUCGGGUCGUAAACCUCUGUCUAGGGGGAAGAAACUUCUGGAGGAUAAUAUCCUUCAGGAUUGACGGUACCUCUGGAGGAAGCAUCGGCUAACUACGUGCCAGCAGCCGCGGUAAUACGUAGGAUGCAAGCGUUGCUCGGAAUUAUUGGGCGUAAAGGGCGCGUAGGUGGUUCUGUAAGUCAGAUGUGAAAGCCCUCGGCUCAACUGAGGAAUUGCAUUUGAAACUGCAGGGCUUGAGUACGGGAGAGGGGGGUGGAAUUCCUGGUGUAGCGGUGAAAUGCGUAGAUAUCAGGAGGAACACCGGUGGCGAAGGCGACCCCCUGGACCGAUACUGACACUGAGGCGCGAAAGCGUGGG